ensembl:lncRNA
GCUGAGCACCCCAAGGGACCCACAGCACCCUACGGCCGAGAGCUGUGGGAUGUGGAGAACCCAGUGACGUGGAGCACCGUGGGACCUGGAGGACCUGGUGGGACCUGGUGAGAUCUGGUGGGAUCUGGAGCAUGCAAGGAGAAGAUGAUGGGACUUGGUGGGACCUGGUGGGACCUGGGACCUGGAGCACCCAAAGGAUUUGGUGAGACCUGGUGGGACCUGGAGCACUCAAGUUGCUGAUGGGGCUUGGUGGAACAUGAUGGGACCUGACACCCGGGGUACCCAAAGACAGGAAGGAUUUGGUGAGACCUGGUGGGAUCUGGUGACACCCAGUGGGACCUGGAGUACCCAACGAGCUGCAGGUCCUGGAGGACCUGGUAAGACCUGGUGGGACCUGGUGGGACCUGGAGCAUCCAAGGACCUUGUGGGAUCUUGUGAGACCUGGUGAGAUCUGAUGGAACCUGGAGGACCCAAGGACCUGAAGGAUUUGGUGAGACCUGGUAGGAUCUGGAGCACCCAAGGACCUGGUAAGACCUGGUGGGAUCUGGUGGGACCUGGAGCACUUUCCAGCUGCUGCUGUGCCGUGGGGAGCACACCCCAGAGGUUCAACAGAGCUGACAUCCCCAUUCCCAAUGGAAACCCAUCACCCUAAGAGCUAAGCCUGCUCCCUGCUCCAGAGCAGAGCCUCACGUGCAGCGGCCUCGAGACCUCAUCCCUGCAAGCAUGACUGCAACCCUGGGCAAAGGGGCACUGCACCUUGCAGCAGCAUUAUCUCUGCAAAGCAAUUGAAAAUGUGUCAAUAGUUCUGCUGGAAGGGACCAAGGAAGGUCAGCAAGUCUGCCUGCCCGGCCACUGGCAGAUAAAGUAGGAUACUGAGGGCAUUUUCCAAGUGCCCCCUGAAUGCAGAGGUGUGGGCACCAGCUGCCUCACAGGAACCCUGUGCCAGUGUCUGACCACUCUCACAAUAAAGACAUUUCUCCUAUGGCCUCACCUGAGCCUCCCCUGGCACAGCUGCAUGGUGCACCCACACGUUGUACCAUUGGUGAGCAGGGAGCAGAGACCAGGCAGCCCCAGGGCCUCUCCUCCCACCCAUAGAUGUCAAACAGAUCCAGCCCUAUAUUGGAGCCCUGGGAGCACUGCAGGUGUUGAGCCCCAUUCACUGCAACCCCUGGAGAUCUUCCACUCAGCUCUCCAACACUCAGAAGAACACCAAGGACGGACCCCUCCUCCAUGAGCCCACGUUGGCUGUGACAACAGCUUUGCCCUCUGAGUGCCUUCCACCUUUCCCAGGACACCUUCCCCCACGAGUUCCCCACCCGGGGGUCAUCCUAAGAGGGCUGCAGCUCCCAGUGGCAGAUGGGGAUAACGCUGGCUGGCAUCCAGCUGGCAGGAUCCUCCCCAGACCUUUGGUAAAUCAUUAGGACGAUAAAAGAGCUGCUGAGACGAAGAAUUCGGAGCGGUGAUGUUUUCCCUCUCCCUCACAGCCACGUCACAGCAUCUGGGAAAGCAGCUUAGCGAAUUAUGCGCUCUGAUAAUUGAUUGAAUUCAUCAGGAAAUAAAGCAG